ACCUACGGGACGCAGCAGUGGGGAAUAUUGGGCAAUGGGCGCAAGCCUUACCCAGCAAUACCGCGUGAGUGAAGAAGGUCUUCGGAUUGUAAAGCUCUUUGAUCAUUGACGAACAUAUGACGGUACCUGAAGAACAAGCCCCGUCUAACUACGUGCCAGCAGCCGCGGUAAAACUUCUGUGGCGAGCGUUGUCCGGAAUUACUUGGCGUAAAUUUUUCGUAGGCGGCAUAAUAAGUUAGCAGUGAAAUACCCAGAGCU
rnacentral:rRNA from 1 species